rnacentral:rRNA from 1 species
CACGUAGGGUGCGAGCGUUGUCCGGAAUUAUUGGGCGUAAAGAGCUCGUAGGCGGUGUGUCGCGUCGGCCGUGAAAACCUGGGGCUUAACUCUGGGCUUGCGGUCGAUACGGGCAUCACUGGAGUUCGGCAGGGGAGACUGGAAUUCCUGGUGUAGCGGUGAAAUGCGCAGAUAUCAGGAGGAACACCGGUGGCGAAGGCGGGUCUCUGGGCCGAUACUGACGCUGAGGAGCGAAAGCCAGGGGAGCGAACGGG